rnacentral:rRNA from 1 species
CCGGGUGAGCAACACGUAUCCAACCUGCCGUCUACUCUUGGACAGCCUUCUGAAAGGAAGAUUAAUACAAGAUGGCAUCAUGAGUCCGCAUGUUCACAUGAUUAAAGGUAUUCCGGUAGACGAUGGGGAUGCGUUCCAUUAGAUAGUAGGCGGGGUAACGGCCCACCUAGUCUUCGAUGGAUAGGGGUUCUGAGAGGAAGGUCCCCCACAUUGGAACUGAGACACGGUCCAA